CCUACAAAAUAAAACAAGAGCAGACAUCUUUGGCUCAGUUCUUGUCCCACUAUAACACCUGUUGUGUAUUUGUCAUCAUCAGUAAUGUAGUGUGUUUCUUCCCAGCCGUUACAGACAAUUGAAAAUGAGGUUGAGCUUCUGGGAGAGCAGCUUUCAGUGGGUGGAGGCUUCAGCUACGCCCACCACCAUCACCACCAGCCUUCCUCCACCCUGCAUGCUACUCCAGUAAUGAAUUGAUUUUCUUCUCUCUGUCUCCACCUCUCACAGCCCUAUCCUCACUUUAUGCCUCGCUGAUUCACAAGCCGGCGUUACCGCUCUCAGCAGGCUGUUCCCCCGUCACCCUACCACCCCAGCUUCUUGCCUUACUUCCUGUCCAUGCUUCCUGUGCCCCCAAAUGUGGCCCCCACUAUCAGUCUAGAGCUGGAUGUGGAUGAUGGAGAGGUGGAGAACUAUGAGGCCCUUUUGAACCUCGCAGAGCGUCUAGGAGAGGCCAAGCCCCGUGGUCUAACGAAGGCAGAUAUAGAACAGCUUCCAUCAUACAGGUUCAACCCCAACAACCAUCAGUCUGAACAAACACUGUGAGUGCUUCUCUGCCUGUAAAAUAUAUGUGUGGUGAGGGUUUUGUUAUGUGAAGAGGUGGUAGGUUUGGGCUAGUUUGAUUUUAAAAUUUCUGUACAAGACAAUGUGUUAAAUGGCACCAAUAGACUUAGACUUAGACUAGACUUUAUUGAUCCCUUGGGAUGACUCCCUCAGGGAAAUUAAGUAUAUUGCUUUGUCCUCCAGGUGUGUAUGUGUGAAAUGUCAUGUCAUUGUUUUUUUUUUGUUUGUUUGUUUGAUUUUUUUGCCCUUUGGAGUCAAAGGUCAUAUUCAUGACUGUAUGCAUCCAUUUCGUGUCUUAGGAUUGUUUUUGUGUUGGACAGUUUUCUGUUGCUUGGUACACUAGCAAUUACCUCAGUCCCACUAUUUAUGUCUUUUCAGAAAAUGGUGCAGCCAGUAUGAUUAGUGCUUAUUGAGUCAUUUUGCUAAUGUUUUCCAUUUAUGUUUUGUUGGGUUGUUUGAAUAUUUUUCCUUUAAACUUUAUGAAACUCUAUCAUUAAAAUGGUGUCAUAGUAGUUUCAUCAUGUAUUAUAUCUGUAACCAAAAUCAUUUGAAGGCCUGUUAUGAAAAUGAAAUUUUUAACAAACAUUUGUACAUUUUGUAUGAGAGUUAUUACUAGUAAUACUUUAUUAAGUAGUGCAAUGAUUUUUUUAAUCCCUUACCCCAUCUUUUGGAUUUCAAAAGCUGGUUCAAUAAUAAAUGUAUAACAUCCUCUUCUAAAA